rnacentral:siRNA from 1 species
GAUCCUAUUACGGACUAUUACGGA